rnacentral:rRNA from 1 species
UACGGGGGGGGCAAGCGUUGUUCGGAAUUACUGGGCGUAAAGGGCGCGUAGGCGGCCUUCUAAGUCGGACGUGAAAUCCCUCGGCUUAACCGAGGAACUGCGUCCGAUACUGAAAGGCUUGAAUCCGGGAGAGGGAUGUGGAAUUCCAGGUGUAGCGGUGAAAUGCGUAGAUAUCUGGAGGAACACCGGUGGCGAAGGCGCCACUCUGGGCCGAAACUGACGCUGAGGAGCGAAAGCGUGGGUAGCAAACAGG